UGCAAGUCGAACGGUAACAGGACUAGCUUGCUAGUUGCUGACGAGUGGCGGACGGGUGAGUAAUGUAUAGGGAUCUGCCUGACAGUGGGGGACAACAGCCGGAAACGGCUGCUAAUACCGCAUACGCUCUACGGAGGAAAGUGGGGGACCUUCGGGCCUCACGCUGACAGAUGAACCUAUAUCAGAUUAGCUAGUUGGUGGGGUAACGGCUUACCAAGGCGACGAUCUGUAGCUGGUCUGAGAGGAUGAUCAGCCACACUGGGACUGAGACACGGCCCAGACUCCUACGGGAGGCAGCAGUGGGGAAUAUUGGACAAUGGGGGCAACCCUGAUCCAGCAAUGCCGCGUGUGUGAAGAAGGCCUUCGGGUUGUAAAGCACUUUCAUUGAGGAGGAAAAGCUGUGCGUUAAUAGCGUACAGCCGUGACGUUACUCAAAGAAGAAGCACCGGCUAACUCCGUGCCAGCAGCCGCGGUAAUACGGAGGGUGCGAGCGUUAAUCGGAAUUACUGGGCGUAAAGCGCGCGUAGGCGGUUUGCUAAGUCAGAUGUGAAAUCCCCGGGCUUAACCUGGGAACUGCAUUUGAGACUGGCAGGCUAGAGUGUGGUAGAGGUGAGUGGAAUUUCAGGUGUAGCGGUGAAAUGCGUAGAGAUCUGAAGGAACAUCAGUGGCGAAGGCGACUCACUGGGCCAUUACUGACGCUGAGGUGCGAAAGCGUGGGUAGCAAACAGGAUUAGAUACCCUGGUAGAA
rnacentral:rRNA from 1 species